UCACCGUAUCAAGCUUGGCUUGUUGUUGGGCCCUUUGUCACCUGGUGACAGGUCUGAAAGAUAAUGAACAGUGCCAUACUGACUCUGUAUGCAACGAGCUUAUGACAGCAUGCAUCUGGUAGUCAUAUGGCCUGGUUCUCACUCCUUUAUUUCUCCA
rnacentral:misc_RNA from 1 species